AACAUGUCCUCACAUGCUUAUGGGUUGACCAACGCCACUCUGCAAUAUCUCUCUCUGCUGCCUGCCAGUAUUGAGGAGUGUAUAUAAUUCUACACCACUGCUUCGCCUCCUUGGCUUGUGUAUACACACACACACGCACACACACACACACACACACACACACACACACGGAAACAAAAACAAUCACAAACACACAUGUAUAUAGCUAUAUGCUGUUCUACACGGCUCCUCUGUGACCAAUCUACACAGGUGUAAUGGACAGCUGUAACUGACCAACAGAUGUGUAUACACAAUACAUAUAUAUACAUACAUACAUAUACGCAUAGAUAUACAACACGGCGAAAGUGGACAAGAAAUUUUGGAAUUACUAUCAAUGUGAAACUGACCAAUGGACAGAGAUAAACUUCAUCACCACCACCACCAACAACAACAACAACAUCAUCAUCAUCAUCACCACUGACAAUAACAACAGCAACAGAACUCUACAAAAAUGAGUGAUCGUCAACAAUU